AAAAAUGUGGAAAAGAUGAAGGGGCCUGAAUCCUUUCUGAAUGCACGGUCUAGUGUUUAUCGGGCGAACAUCAAGGGAUACAGGAGCUAAUGGUAGGAGCACAACUUGCAUGGACAAUGAUUUCCUUUGGCAUGAUCUUGACUUUCAGGAUCUGAUACGAUACAAUAUACCUACCAUACUAAUGUGGAUCCAAUGCUUUGACUUGAACCACAAAUUUAGGAGGGCCUGAUUAUUGUACAGGUAGCUGUUCAGCCAUAGUGGGAAAUCUCCAUGAACUAGUAGUGACGGUUAUAUACAUUAUCUUCAUCAGUGGGACUAGGUUGUGACAUUCAAAUAAACUUUAAUUGGAAUGAACUGAUCUAGUCGCCGAAUAACUGUUUUUGUAACAAUUCCAAUCCAUUAUAACAUGCCUUUAUAGAAGGUGGUGAGUUAGGGCUUUUGCAUGGCCUGUUAAGUACAAAGCUAAAAUGUGCAAGAAAAAAGAUAAAGAACAUCAAGAUAGACACACUGGGUUUGUGUAUUUGGUUUAUUUCCAAGUAUUUCUUCCCCUGUCUUGUAGACCACAGUCAGCAAGUAGCCUAUCGUCACAGAGGACACCUGAUUGUUUUGUUUUUUUUUCUCUUCAAACUCAUUCUACUAGUUUCUUCUUUUAUCUAAAAUAUUAAAACUCAGAGCAGGAUAUUAGAGAUGUGGUUUUCUCAGCAGGGUGACUGUGAAGCGGUGAAACUGCAGUACCUCUUCCCCUCCCCUAGGGGGAGACAGUCCGGAGAGCAUUAGUCGGGGUAGGACUGUGUCUACUACACAGUCAAGUGUUUGCCAGUUCUGCCCGAGGCAAGUGUUUCUGUCCAUUCUUCAUCUUUGUCCUCAGGAGUCAAGCGAGAGACAUAAAGUGGCAAAAGUAAAGGCUUCCAUUUCGUGACGGGGUUGAGCCAGGAAACAACUCAAAUGGCGUGAGAUGCAAUUACUUUCAUUCCCAAGCCCUGCCCCACACAAAUAAAGCCAAGGCAAGAGACAAGCAAAAAUAGACUGUUGAAAAUGAACACAAAUUCACGAGAAAGCAAGUUACAAAAUACCCUCAAGGGUAUAAAAGAAGACAAAAAUAAAAUUUGGAUAUAUUGAGUAUGGGGGGGGGGGGGGGGGGAGGCGGGAGAGGGUGAAUAUAUGAAGUACAAAAAAAGAAAAUAAUUUUACUGUACAAGUGCUUGGAUCCUAUGAUGCUUUUUAUCAUUACUGAAUAAUUUGCCCUCUAUCAUGAGGUUGGCCACACCGCUCCAACCACUUACCAUGCAGCUUCAUUACACAAGAGACUUGUCAGUUCAACUAGAUAACCAGCUUUACAAUUACUGUGGCAGGGGACUCUGGGAAGUAAAACCAAGAAUUCGUUUGGUGGAAUUUAAAUGCAUGUUUAAGAAUCUGACUGGCCUGAUGGUGGCAGUUGCAACGACUGCAGAGAGCUGACCAAAGAUCUGAAGUCAUUUUGACUUUGACCGUCUUUUUUUAAAUACAACUUGGACAGCAAUGAAUACUCUGCACUCCCAGUGAUUUGAUUGGUACAUCCUUUUUUUUUUUCCUGGACUGGUGGUUACUGUUGGUUACAACUGAGCACUCACAAAAGAGCUGUAGAGGUUUAAAAUGAUGUGUAUGGUACAUUGAAACAUUGAUGGCUGCCUAAGAGCGAAAAAAAAAGAAAGAUUUGGAAGGUUCCAGAAUAUGCAAGUGGUCAGUACAUGAACAAUGGAUGGCACUCAGGUUUCAGUAUAUCACAAGAAAAGGUCAAAGGUCAACCAACAGCUAAGAAGCCAUGAAGUAGCAACCAGCCAUCUGAAAGGCAGCUAGAGUGGGCAAAGAGGUUUGAGGCUAACUGCUUCCUCUUCACAAAAAUCUCUCUCCUCGGGCCAACCGUCAGCCCCUGUUUGUCAUCUAACCAAAAGCACAUUAGUCCCCCUAAAAAAAAAAAAAAAUAAAAAAAUCUGUAACCAGUAAUAAAAUGUAAGAUUUAAAAAUGAAAGCAAAAGUAAAAAAUAAACUUCAAAUACAAUUCAAACGAAACAAAUAAAAUAAAAGACAACGGUAUCUAGAUGAAUGCAGAGAAAGCUUAAGGUGAGGCCGAAAGGAAACUCCGCUUCCCAUGUUUCUCCUACAGGAGGUCUGUAGGCUAACAUGUUCUCCUGCAGGAGGUCUGUAGGCUAACAUGUUCUCCUGCAGGAGGUCUGUAGGCUGACAUGUUCUCCUGCAGGAGGUCUGUAGGCUGACAUGUUCUCCUGCAGGAGGUCUGUAGGCUGACAUGUUCUCCUGCAGGAGGUCUGUAGGCUGA
ensembl:lncRNA